GACGAACGCUGGCGGCGUGCCUAACACAUGCAAGUCGAACGGUAACAGGAAGAAGCUUGCUUCUUUGCUGACGAGUGGCGGACGGGUGAGUAAUGUCUGGGAAACUGCCUGAUGGAGGGGGAUAACUACUGGAAACGGUAGCUAAUACCGCAUAACGUCGCAAGACCAAAGAGGGGGACCUUCGGGCCUCUUGCCAUCGGAUGUGCCCAGAUGGGAUUAGCUAGUAGGUGGGGUAACGGCUCACCUAGGCGACGAUCCCUAGCUGGUCUGAGAGGAUGACCAGCCACACUGGAACUGAGACACGGUCCAG
rnacentral:rRNA from 1 species